rnacentral:rRNA from 1 species
UACAGAGGGUGCGAGCGUUGUCCGGAAUCACUGGGCGUAAAGGGCGCGUAGGCGGCCACCGCAAGUCGACUGUGAAAUCUCCGGGCUUAACCCGGAAAGGUCAGCCGAUACUGCGGGGCUAGAGUGCAGAAGGGGCAACUGGAAUUCUCGGUGUAGCGGUGAAAUGCGUAGAUAUCGAGAGGAACACCUGCGGCGAAGGCGACUCUUUGGCCUGUAACUGACGCUGAGGCGCGAAAGCGUGGGGAGCAAACAGG